CUUGAACGCUGGCGGCAUGCCUUACACAUGCAAGUCGAACGGCAGCACGGGGCAACCUGGUGGCGAGUGGCGAACGGGUGAGUAAUGCAUCGGAACGUACCUUUCAGUGGGGGAUAACGUAGCGAAAGUUACGCUAAUACCGCAUAUUCUGUGAGCAGGAAAGCAGGGGAUCGCAAGUCCUUGCGCUGAUUGAGCGGCCGAUGUCAGAUUAGUUAGUUGGUGAGGUAAAGGCUCACCAAGGCGACGAUCUGUAGCGGGUCUGAGAGGAUGAUCCGCCACACUGGAACUGAUACACGGUCCAGACUCCUACGGGAGGCAGCAGUGGGGAAUUUUGGACAAUGGGGGCAACCCUGAGCCAGCCAUGCCGCGUGAGUGAAGAAGGCCUUCGGGUUGUAAAGCUAUUUCGGCCGGGAAGAAAUCGCACGGGCUAAUACCCUGUGUGGAUGACGGUACCGGAAUAAGAAGCACCGGCUAACUACGUGCCAGCCGCAGCAGUAACAC
rnacentral:rRNA from 1 species